GGAGGGGUGCGAGCGUUAAUCGGAAUUACUGGGCGUAAAGCGCGCGUAGGCGGGCUUGGUCAGUCGGGAUGUGAAAGCCCCCGGGGCUUAACCUGGGAAUUGCAUUCGAUACUGCCAGACUAGAGUAUGGGAGAGGGAAGCGGAAUUUCCGGUGUAGCGGUGAAAUGCGUAGAUAUCGGAAGGAACACCAGUGGCGAAGGCGGCUUCCUGGCCCAAUACUGACGCUGAGGUGCGAAAGCGUGGGGAGCGAACAGGAUUAGAUACCCUGGUAGUCCACGCCGUAAACGAUGAGAACUAGAUGUCGGGAGGAUUUGCCUCUCGGUGUCGCAGCUAACGCGUUAAGUUCUCCGCCUGGGGAGUACGCCGGCAAACGGUA
rnacentral:rRNA from 1 species